rnacentral:tRNA from 1 species
GGGGGCGUAGCUCAGCUGGGAGAGCGUCUGGUUCGCAAUCAGAAGGUCGGGGGUUCGAUCCCCCCCGUCUCCACCA